CUGCUGCUGCUGUUGUUGUUGUCGUCGUUGCUGUAGCUGUAGCUGUUGCUGUAGCUGUUGCUGUCGUUGUUGUUCCCGAUACCGUAUUAGAUUACUUACAUAGCUGUUGUUCCUAACUGUUGCUCCACCGGCAGGAUUUAAAUUUGAAUCAGCGAUAGCCACACCGGCACCCGCAGCGGCAGCGGCAGUUGGAGAUGGUGGAGCAGCAACAGGUGCACCAACCGGCGCAGUGCACAGCGGACAUAGACAGCAGUCGUUGGGU